rnacentral:rRNA from 1 species
AGAGUUUGAUCAUGGCUCAGAACGAACGCUGGCGGCGUGCCUAACACAUGCAAGUCGAGCGAGAAAAGGGGGGCAACUCCCUGAGUACAGCGGCGCACGGGUGAGUAACACGUAGGUGACCUACCCUCGAGCUCGGAAUAACCUACCGAAAGGUGGGCUAAUACCGGAUAUGACCACGGGAGUCUCGGCUCCUGCGGCAAAAGGUGGCCUCUGCUUGCAAGCUACCACUUGAGGAUGGGCCUGCGCGCCAUUAGCUAGUUGGUGGGGUAACGGCCUACCAAGGCGAUGAUGGCUAGCUGGUCUGAGAGGAUGGCCAGCCACACUGGGACUGGAACACGGCCCAGACUCCUACGGGAGGCAGCAGUGGGGGAUAUUGCGCAAUGGGCGAAAGCCUGACGCAGCGACGCCGCGUGGGUGAUGAAGGCCUUCGGGUCGUAAAGCCCUGUCGAGGGGGACGAAUCGGUUCCGACCUAACACGUCGGAGCCCUGACGGUACCCCUAAAGGAAGCACCGGCUAACUCCGUGCCAGCAGCCGCGGUAAUACGGAGGGUGCGAGCGUUGUUCGGAAUCACUGGGCGUAAAGCGCGUGUAGGCGGCCUGCUAAGUCUGAUGUGAAAGCCCGGGGCUCACCCCCGGAAGUGCAUUGGAAACUAGCGGGCUGGAGUCCCGGAGAGGAGGGUGGAAUUCCUGGUGUAGCGGUGAAAUGCGUAGAUACCAGGAGGAACACCGGUGGCGAAGGCGGCCCUCUGGACGGUGACUGACGCUGAGACGCGAAAGCGUGGGGAGCAAACAGGAUUAGAUACCCNNGUAGUCC